rnacentral:rRNA from 1 species
AUACGUAGGGGGCGAGCGUUGUCCGGAAUGAUUGGGCGUAAAGGGCGCGUAGGCGGCCCGGUAAGUCUGGAGUGAAAGUCCUGUUUUUAAGAUGGGAAUUGCUUUGGAUACUGUCGGGCUUGAGUGCAGGAGAGGUAAGUGGAAUUCCCAGUGUAGCGGUGAAAUGCGUAGAGAUUGGGAGGAACACCAGUGGCGAAGGCGACUUACUGGACUGUAACUGACGCUGAGGCGCGAAAGUGUGGGGAGCAAACAGGAUUAGAUACCCUGGUAGUCCACACUGUAAACGAUGAAUGCUAGGUGUAGGGGGUAUCGACCCCUUCUGUGCCGCAGUCAACACAAUAAGCAUUCCGCCUGGGGAGUACGGCCGCAAGGUUGAAACUCAAAUGAACUGACGGGG